rnacentral:rRNA from 1 species
UAGGGAAUAUUGCUCAAUGGGGGAAACCCUGAAGCAGCAACGCCGCGUGAGUGAUGAAGGCCUUCGGGUCGUAAAGCUCUGUUGUACGGGAAGAACGUGGGUAUAGCUAACAUCUAUAUCCAGUGACGGUACCGUAUAAGAAAGGACCGGCUAACUUCGUGCCAGCAGCCGCGGUAAGACGGGGGGUCCUAGCGUUGUUCGGAAUUAUUGGGCGUAAAGCGUGUGCAGGUGGUUUUGAAAGUUAGAUGUGAAAGCCCCGGGCUUAACUCGGGAAGGGCAUUUAAAACUACAAAACUUGAGUAAGGAAGAGGGUCGUGGAAUUCCUGGUGUAGUGGUGAAAUACGUAGAUAUCAGGAGGAACACCGGCGGCGAAGGCGGCGACCUGGUCCUAUACUGACACUCAUACACGAAAGCGUGGGGAUCAAACAGGAUUAGAUACCCCUGUAGUCC